rnacentral:rRNA from 1 species
GAUGAACGCUGGCGGCGUGCCUAAUACAUGCAAGUCGAGCGAACGGACGAGAAGCUUGCUUUUCUGAUGUUAGCGGCGGACGGGUGAGUAACACGUGGAUAACCUACCUAUAAGACUGGGAUAACUUCGGGAAACCGGAGCUAAUACCGGAUAAUAUUUUGAACCGCAUGGUUCAAAAGUGAAAGACGGUCUUGCUGUCACUUAUAGAUGGAUCCGCGCUGCAUUAGCUAGUUGGUAAGGUAACGGCUUACCAAGGCAACGAUGCAUAGCCGACCUGAGAGGGUGAUCGGCCACACUGGAACUGAGACACGGUCCAGACUCCUACGGUAGGCAGCAGUAGGGAAUCUUCCGCAAUGGGCGAAAGCCUGACGGAGCAACGCCGCGUGAGUGAUGAAGGUCUUCGGAUCGUAAAACUCUGUUAUUAGGGAAGAACAUAUGUGUAAGUAACUGUGCACAUCUUGACGGUACCUAAUCAGAAAGCCACGGCUAACUACGUG